UUUCCGUAGGUGAACCUGCGGAAGGAUCAUUAUCGAAUUUCGAGGGGAAGGAAGAUGAGGAGUGGAGACUGUCGCUGGCUUUCCCGCCUGGGAAGCAUGUGCACGCCUUGCUUUUCGUUGACCUUUCUCUUACUCUCACACCUGUGCACCCAUUGUAGGUCCUCGAAAGAGGAUCUAUGUUUUUAUCAUCACAUGCAUCGUAUGUCCAUAGAAUGUAACAUGAUCGUCGAUCGACCUCGCGGUCGGGUGGCGGUCUAAAUAAAUAAAUACAACUUUCAGCAACGGAUCUCUUGGCUCUC
rnacentral:misc_RNA from 1 species